CGCCUUCCCUCCGGCUCCCUCCAUAGCUAUAUUGAACGGGCUCGGCGCAAGCCGGACUAUGGGGAUAAACGCGCGCGGAAUAAGCGGACCGGACCCGGGUGCGAUUCCCGGCGGCUCCACCACC
rnacentral:tmRNA from 1 species